GCAGUAGCCACGGUAAUACGUAGGGUGCAAGCGUUAAUCGGAAUUACUGGGCGUAAAGCGUGCGCAGGCGGUUAUAUAAGACAGAUGUGAAAUCCCCGGGCUCAACCUGGGAACUGCAUUUGUGACUGUAUAGCUAGAGUACGGCAGAGGGGGAUGGAAUUCCGCGUGUAGCAGUGAAAUGCGUAGAUAUGCGGAGGAACACCGAUGGCGAAGGCAAUCCCCUGGGCCUGUACUGACGCUCAUGCACGAAAGCGUGGGGAGCAAACAGGAUUAGAUACCCCCGUAGUCCUGUCUCUUAUACA
rnacentral:rRNA from 1 species